rnacentral:rRNA from 1 species
GGGUUGUGAGGUUAAGCGACUAAGCGUACACGGUGGAUGCCCUGGCAGUCAGAGGCGAUGAAGGACGUGCUAAUCUGCGAUAAGCGUCGGUAAGGUGAUAUGAACCGUUAUAACCGGCGAUUUCCGAAUGGGGAAACCCAGUGUGAUUCGUCACACUAUCAUUAACUGAAUCCAUAGGUUAAUGAGGCGAACCGGGGGAACUGAAACAUCUAAGUACCCCGAGGAAAAGAAAUCAACCGAGAUUCCCCCAGUAGCGGCGAGCGAACGGGGAGCAGCCCAGAGCCUGAAUCAGUGUGUGUGUUAGUGGAAGCGUCUGGAAAGGCGUGCGAUACAGGGUGACAGCCCCGUACACAAAAAUGCACAUACUGUGAGCUCGAUGAGUAGGGCGGGACACGUGGUAUCCUGUCUGAAUAUGGGGGGACCAUCCUCCAAGGCUAAAUACUCCUGACUGACCGAUAGUGAACCAGUACCGUGAGGGAAAGGCGAAAAGAACCCCGGCGAGGGGAGUGAAAAAGAACCUGAAACCGUGUACGUACAAGCAGUGGGAGCACGCUUAGGCGUGUGACUGCGUACCUUUUGUAUAAUGGGUCAGCGACUUAUAUUCUGUAGCAAGGUUAACCGAAUAGGGGAGCCGAAGGGAAACCGAGUCUUAACUGGGCGUUAAGUUGCAGGGUAUAG